CCAGGUUACAGUGUGGGGGUACCAACCAGGUUACAGUACCAACCAGGUUGUAGUGUGGGGGUACCAACCAGGUUGUAGUGUGGGGGUACCAACCAGGUUGUAGUGUGGGGGUACCAACCAGGUUAUAGGGUGGUGGUAUCAACCAGGUUGUAGUGUGGGGGUACCAACCAGGUUACAGUACCAACCAGGUUACAGUACCAACCAGGUUGUAGUGUGGUGGUAUCAACCAGGUUGUAGUGUGGGGGUACCAACCAGGUUACAGUACCAACCAGGUUACAGUGUGGGGGUACCAACCAGGUUACAGUACCAACCAGGUUGUAGUGUGGGGGUACCAACCAGGUUGUAGUGUGGGGGUACCAACCAGGUUACAGUGUGGGGGUACCAACCAGGUUAUAGUGUGGGGGUGCCAACCAGGUUGUAGUGUGGGGGUACCAACCAGGUUGUAUUGUGGGGGUACCAACCAGGUUGUAGUGUGG
ensembl:lncRNA